CACGUAGGCGGAUUGCUAAGUCAGGGGUGAAAUCCUGGAGCUCAACUCCAGAACUGCCUUUGAUACUGGCGACCUUGAGUCCGGGAGAGGUGAGUGGAACUGCGAGUGUAGAGGUGAAAUUCGUAGAUAUUCGCAAGAACACCAGUGGCGAAGGCGGCUCACUGGCCCGGUACUGACGCUGAGGUGCGAAAGCGUGGGGAGCGAACA
rnacentral:rRNA from 1 species